rnacentral:rRNA from 1 species
AGUCGAACGAACCCUUCGGGGUGAGUGGCGCACGGGUGCGUAACGCGUGGGAACCUGCCUUUAGGUUCGGAAUAACAGUGAGAAAUCGCUGCUAAUACCGGAUAAUGUCUUCGGACCAAAGAUUUAUCGCCUUUAGAUGGGCCCGCGUUAGAUUAGGUAGUUGGUAGGGUAAUGGCCUACCAAGCCGACGAUCUAUAGCUGGUCUUAGAGGAUGAUCAGCCACACUGGGGCUGAGACACGGCCCAGACUCCUACGGGAGGCAGCAGUGGGGAAUAUUGGACAAUGGGCGAAAGCCUGAUCCAGCAAUGCCGCGUGAGUGAUGAGGCCUUAGGGUUGUAAAGCUCUUUUACCAGGGAUGAUAAUGACAGUACCUGGAGAAUAAGCUCCGGCUAACUCCGUGCCAGCAGCCGCGGUAAUACGGAGGGGGUUAGCGUUGUUCGGAAUUACUGGGCGUAAAGCGCGCGUAGGCGGAUUAGAAAGUUGGGGGUGAAAUCCCGGGGCUCAACCCCGGAACUGCCUCCAAAACUACUAGUCUAGAGUUCGAGAGAGGUGAGUGGAAUUCCGAGUGUAGAGGUGAAAUUCGUAGAUAUUCGGAGGAACACCAGUGGCGAAGGCGGCUCACUGGCUCGAUACUGACGCUGAGGUGCGAAAGUGUGGGGAGCAAACAGGAUUAGAUACCCUGGUAGAAGGGC